rnacentral:rRNA from 2 species
UACGGAGGGUGCGAGCGUUGUUCGGAAUUAUUGGGCGUAAAGCGCGUGUAGGCGGUUCUUUAAGUCUGAUGUGAAAGCCCCGGGCUCAACCUGGGAAGUGCAUUGGAUACUGGAGGACUUGAGUACGGGAGAGGGUAGUGGAAUUCCUAGUGUAGGAGUGAAAUCCGUAGAUAUUAGGAGGAACACCGGUGGCGAAGGCGGCUACCUGGACCGAUACUGACGCUGAGACGCGAAAGCGUGGGGAGCAAACAGG